rnacentral:rRNA from 1 species
AAUGACUCUCGRCAACGGAUAUCUCGGCUCUCGCAUYGAUGAAGAACGUAGCGAAAUGCGAUACUUGGUGUGAAUUGCAGAAUCCCGCGAACCAUCGAGUCUUUGAACGCAAGUUGCGCCCGAARCCAUCAGGCCGAGGGCACGUUGGUGGUGUCAAGCAAMG